rnacentral:rRNA from 1 species
AGUGAACGCUGGCGGCAGGCCUAACACAUGCAAGUCGAACGGCGGCACAGUGGAGCCUGCUCCAUGGGUGGCGAGUGGCGGACGGGUGAGGAAUACAUCGGAAUCUGCCCAGUCGUGGGGGAUAACAUAGGGAAACUUAUGCUAAUACCGCAUACGACCUACGGGUGAAAGCGGGGGAUCGCAAGACCUCGCGCGAUUGGAUGAGCCGAUGUCCGAUUAGCUAGUUGGCGGGGUAAUGGCCCACCAAGGCGACGAUCGGUAGCUGGUCUGAGAGGAUGAUCAGCCACACUGGAACUGAGACACGGUCCAGACUCCUACGGGAGGCAGCAGUGGGGAAUAUUGGACAAUGGGCGCAAGCCCGAUCCAGCCAUGCCGCGUGGGUGAAGAAGGCCUUCGGGUUGUAAAGCCCUUUUGUCCGGAAAGAAACGCCUCGGAUUAAUACUCCGGGGUAAUGACGGUACCGGAAGAAUAAGCACCGGCUAACUUCGUGCCAGCCGCCGCAGUAAAAC